rnacentral:lncRNA from 1 species
CAGACCCCAGCACAUGGCCAUUCAACCAAAGCAACCUCUCACACUUGGUUGAUUGGUGAGUUGGAGGCUCCAGUGGCCCCUGUCAGACUUGAGACCUCAGACCUGCCCACCACAGCCAGUUUCCCACACAGCCUGGGACUGACUGGGUGACGGAGAAGGAUCCUUACCAUGGAACUAGCCAGGUCCAGCCCCAGGGUUGCAAAGAUUGAUGAUUGGAAGUUGGGACUCCAGCCCAAGCUGGGGGAGGAUCCUUUCCCCUCUGGGCUCCUGUGUUUCCACCUAAGCCCGGCUCACCCAUGAGCCAGGCAUCUGCUGGCAGAUGAGAACAAGACGUGGUCUCAGGAAGUCUGCAGGCAGACCAGGAGCCCAGGCCUUCAAGGAUGAGACCUGAGGCCAUGCCGCAUUCCUGGCCUGGCCAUGUCUGUUCAUAGAAUUGCCUCCACGUUAGCCAGCCCCAUGCCUCCAGACUCUAUGUCUACACAGCUCACCUUGGCCAUCUCGGGGCCAGAGGGCAGAAGCAGCUUAUGUUGGGAAGGGGCAUCUGAGAAGAAGGAGCAGGUCUGCUUGUCAAGAGUCCAAGCACGCCUGUGUUCUGUGGCCACAGGAGAGGAGGGGCCGCUUUUAAAUACAAGCCUACUCCUGUCGUUGGACCAGAACAAAGACCUACUGGCCAGAAGCACAUGAGAGACUAGAGCGCAAUGGUACGAUCUUGGCUCACUGCAACUUCCACCUCCCGAGUUCAAGCAAUUCUCCUGACAGAAGUCCACUCAAGCCAGCCAUUGUAGCUAGCAUCGGGGCUCCAGCC